rnacentral:lncRNA from 1 species
GCUGGACAUUGGGGCUGGAGCUCCUGGGACAGUGAAAGGUGUCCCUGCCCAUGGCAGGGGAGUUGGAAUGAGACAAUCUUAAAGGUCCCUGCUGUCACUGCCAGCCCAAACCAUUUUAUGGUGAUUCUGUAAUUUUAGAAGAUUUUACUGCUGUCUGAAACCAGGUCACCAUCACCCUCCUCUCACAUCACCUGAUCCAGUCAGCCUGAAAUCUGCUCUUUGUGCAUCAUCUCCCAAAGCUGGCUGAACUCUCUUCUCAGGGGUUAAAAACCUGCCAGAGACCUUCAGGAACAGCAGACACGAGCUCUCCACCCCCAGAGGCAGCACCCAGGUACAAAGGUUGAUCU